UGGCUCAGUGGUAGAGCGCAUGCCUUGCAUGCAUGAGGCCCUGGGUUCGAUUCCUCAG
rfam:Dipodomys ordii contig_22523, whole genome shotgun sequence.